rnacentral:lncRNA from 1 species
CAGCUAUGGUUGUGAUAUCUCGCUUUGCUGAAAAAUCAUAGGUAAAAAUAUUGUUUGCUGAUUUAUUGAGAGAGAAAAACAUUGAUCAUUCGUUGAAAUAGUUGAAAUAGUAUGACUCAUAAGACAAGCAAAUAAGAAAGAAGCCUUACCAUUAGGUCUGAAAACAGUACGGAUAUUUUCCGAUCUGUUGACACCGUUUUUUGGGCACGUGUCCAGGAUGGCAGGAUAAAGUGGCAGUAUGCUGUUUACAGGAUGAAUUGCCGAUGAGGAUGGUUGCCGAUGAAGGAGAGGUCGGAUGUGACUAAGUAUGCAGGCAGUGAUGUGUUUAUGCCGAUGGCUAUAAUUUGGGAGUCUGCCGAUGACUAUGGCAAAGAGUCUGCCGAUGAUAUGGAGGAGGGAUCCGGAAACUGAUGAUCGGUUUAUGGAAGAAUUUUAGUUCGUCACGGGAGAUAGCUUUGUUAUUUCCUUAUUUAUUUAAGUCGUUUUGUAUACGGAUUCCGUGUAAUUUGGAAUUCGAAUUCUAGUCGUGUUUAAUUGUAGCUCUUUGAGCAGGGUAUAAAUAUGAACCCUAGGGCCUUGUAAUGAUCUAUCUAUCAAUCAAACAAACACACGUUUUACUCAUAUUCUAGCAUCUACUUUUCGACGACUUCGUCAUACUUUUUUCUUUUUACUACGAGUUCUUAGGAAUUCUUCGACUUAAGCUCGGCGUAUUCUCGAGUUCCGCGUGAGUACCUCUUAGCCGUGACAUCCGGGCGCAUCGCUGUUGUCAGGACUAAAGUAUUCGAGUUACUACCUUUGCUGAUAGUAAGGUCAAAUCGGCUGGCACGCCUUAACGUUUGAAUCGGGUAUUAGCCCUUUGUGUUUGCAGAUCGAUUUUGCAUCAACACAUAUUUUGGCACGCCCAGUGGGACAAGAUUCAAGAUCAAGAUCAACAUGUCGAUCUCUGACUUUGAUCAGGAGAACGUCAUCCCCGUGACAGAAGCCAAUCUCAAGGAUGAGCAGAAGCAAGCUAUUGCCCAAGCUAUGGAGGAAUACAAGCUGCAAUGCCUGAAGUCCUUCAGCAUAAAUAGGAGUGGCGAGGUGAUCCAGAAGGAUGCGCUGCCGGCACCACGGCAGGUUACUUUCGAAGCCAAUCCGGGCAAGCUUCAAGAUAUGGUUGACAGUGCUAUCAACCGUGCUUUGAUCAACCAAGCUGGCGUACUGUCUAAUACGGUUUUCAAUGCCGUAGCAAGAACUUUCAAGGAAGGACAAAUCCCUCCAGAUUAUGUGGGCCCUACUCACCAUCAACCAACAGCACCAGAGGUUACGGCUCCAUCGGCUGCUUUGACGGCCGCAAGUGCACAAUCUGCCGUCCCGCCAAGCACAUCGGGAGCUACUGGUGCACUGUCUGUGCCGAUGACAACCAACCCACAGACUUCAGGUGGGCAGAAUAAACUGACAACAGAUAUGUUGGCAUCGGCAAUGUCAGGGUUGACUCUUCCUCCCAACUGGUGGGGUUAUGGUAUGCCCCCAGAAUUGACGCCGGGUACAUCACAGAUAACCGACAUGAGAGGCAAGACUCCUAUGACAUCGGCGCUUCCCAAUGCGCCGUUGAACCAGAGUCCUCGGUAUACUACAACUACUACUGCAAGGCCUCACACUAGGAAUCCUCAAGAUUCAAUGUUCCAGAUGCCUAAUACAUCGGCAGAUUCAAUGCUGAUGCAACAGAGGUCUAUGGCCCAGUCGGGGUAUGUCAAUUCAAUGAUGGUACCCAAUUACCAAUCAUCGGCAGCGCCUAUGCCGAUGAACGCUAAUAACGGAUGGCUUGGGCAGCAAGUCUUUCCACAAUCGCCCCAACAGAGUUACCAGGCUACAGGGUUCCAGCAAGGACAGAUAUAUCCCGGAUUCCAGAGUCAGGGGAUCCCCAAUCAGCCAAUGAAUAUCGGACAGCAACUCGGGGGGCAGCAAAUCGGUGGACAGCAGUUUGGUGGUCCGCAGAUUGGAGGUCAGAUGAUCAACCCAAUGUUCCGUGCAGAUCAUGCCCCAAACAGACACGUGGAGGCUCGCCACCAGGCGCCAGAUCCGCAGCCACCACAUCGGCAGGAUGCCGAUGCAUAUUGGGCCGAUAAGAUCGCUGAAGUAAUGAGGGAACAAUUUGGGAUAAAGCCCAAAGUCAACACUUACUCUUAUCGGACACCGUAUCCUCCCGCAUAUGAUUUGAUCCCGCUUCCACAUCGGUACAAGGUACCAGACUUUACCAAAUUUUCCGGGCAAGACGACACGUCAACCAUGGAGCAUGUCAACAGGUUCAUCAUUCAAUGCGGAGAAGCUGGUAACAGGGACAAAUUAAGGGUUCGUCUAUUUUCAUCGUCAUUGUCUGGGUCGGCCUUUACUUGGUUCAUAUCAUUACCUCCUAAUUCAGUGAUUACUUGGGCCGAUCUAGAGAAAUAAUUCCACAAGUACUUCUUUUCUGGAGUUCAUGAGAAGAAGAUCACCGAUUUGGUCAAAUUGAGACAUCGCAAUGAUGAAUCGGUUGAAGGUUUCGUGCAGAGGAUACGGGAAGUUAAGAAUAAAUGCUAUAGUCUGAUUCUAGAUGAUCGGCAGCUAGCCGAUUUGGCUUUCCAGGGUUUGUUGCCACACAUCAGGGAUAAGUAUGCCUCUCAGGAGUUUGAAAGCUUAAGUCAUUUAGUACAGAGGAUUUCUGAUCAAGACAUCAGGCCUUUUGAGCCCAAAAGAGCAUGGAACAAGAAGGUGUUGUUUGUUGAUGAAGCAACAAGCUCAGAUUCUGAUGAAGAACCAGUAAUCGGCUUGGCAGAGUGGGUGAAGAACAAGAAGCCGAUGUCUUGUCCUUUUGGGCAAAAGGAACCAGAAAAGUUCGCUUUCGACACUGCUAAGGCCGAUAAGAUAUUUGAUUUUCUACUCCAGGAAGGUCAGAUCAAGUUGUCUCCUAAUCACGUGAUCCCAUCGGCAGAGGAGUUGAGGAAGAUGAAAUAUUGCAAGUGGCAUAAUGCAACUUCUCAUGACACCAAUGACUGCAAAGUUUUCAGACAACAGUUGCAAUCGGCCAUAGAGUCUGGGAGAAUAAAAUUUGACAGUUCCAAGACUCAGAAGCCGAUGAAGAUAGACCAACAUCCUUUCCCGACAAACAUGUUGGAUGCAAAGGGGAAGGCCAAGGUUUUAACAUCGGAAGCAGCUGAGAACAGUGCAUCGGUAGAUCCUCAACAUCAGAUUACUACUACCGAUGCAAAGAGUAAAGGCUUGGUCCAGGAAGGGACUAAUUCGGGUAGGCCUCCUCGGUCCGGCAUCGUUAUAACUCAUAGAAGGCCUCGAGAGAAUUGGCAGCAACGGGAAGAUCGAUAUCGGCGCCAACAAGAGGAUUACCGACGGGAGGAAGAAAGACGCCGACAGGAGUGGAAUCGGCAUAGAGAUCAUUGGAAUUGUCCGUUCUUCAUCCAUUGUUGGGAGGAAAAUAUCAAGCUUCCCACUGUCAGAGACUGCCCUGAGUGCAACGGUUAUGAUCGGUACGACAGGACCAAUCGGCGUUAUCAUGAUGAUGAUCGGCGAUUUAAUGGGCCAAUCAGAGGAAGGGCGUCAGUUCAUGAUCGGCUGGGGGGCAGGCUCAGCGUGCACGAUAGGCUUGGCAAUCGUGUCCAAUAUUUUCCCAGAAACCAGGAAGAACUCGAGGAGAUGGCUAAUGCAUGAGUUCCCGAUGAGUUCAUAUUUUGCAGGGAUGCUAACACGCAUCGGAUGGAGUCAAGGGAGAAUCGACGCCUAGCAGCAAGGCAGAAACCGCUUCCUCCAUGGUGUCCUGAAGGGUUAACCAAGACACAGAAGAGGAGAUUGCAACGAGAAAGGCAAGAGGAGUUAAGCAAAGGCGAGGACUCUAGAAGUCAGCAGCCGUCAGACACUAAGAGGGAAGGUCCAUCGGCAGGGGUUAACAUGGUCUUUAUGUUGCCGAUGGAGUUUCUUGCACCAUCCAAUAAUGAUGAGUUAGAAUUUUCCGAUCAGAUAGCUCAGCUGGCUCUGGAUCCCAUGACAGCUAUCUUUGAGAAACCUGCCGAUGAUGAAAGGCAGCAUCUCAAAGCUCUGUUCGUCAAAGGAAGGGUUGAUGGGCAGCCGAUGACCAAGAUCCUAGUUGAUGGUGGCGCUGCUAUUAAUAUUAUGCCCUAUGCAGUAUAUCGGAAGCUUGGGAAAGGGGAUCAGGAUUUGACCAAGACCGAUAUGAUGCUCAAAGACUUUGAAGGAAACGUGUCUCCAGUCAAGGGGGCAAUAUGUGUGGAGUUGACCAUCGGCAGCAAAACCUUGCCGACAACUUUCUUCGUGAUUAGUGGAAAGGGUGCUUACAACUUAUUGUUGGGAAGAGAUUGGAUUCAUGCCAAUUGUUGCAUCCCGUCUACAAUGCACCAAUGCUUGGUUCAGUGGGUAGGUGACAAGAUUGAGAUUGUCCCAGGGGAUUCUUCUUAUGUUAUUGCAUCGGCAGAGGCGGAUACCUAUGAGAGGACUAGGUGCAUUUCAGGGGAAGUUUGGGAGAAGAAUUUUCUCAAAGUUGCCGAUUACGAGAUUCCACCGAUCCAAGCAGUCGGUUCUGACGACGGUUUUUAAUGGAUAGAUUCGCCGAUGAUGGAAAAUUAGGCCAGGGAUUCACAUCGGCCGAUGAUUUGGUAGAGGUAGAUAUAGGUAGUGGUGAUAAGCCUAGACCUACUUUUAUUAGUGCUAAAUUAGAUCCUGGGUGUAAGCAACAAUUAACUAAUUUGUUAAAGGAAUAUAAAGAUUGCUUUGCUUGGGAUUAUACUGAGAUGCCUGGUUUAGACCGAUCAAUUGUUGAACAUCGGUUACCCAUCAAGUCUGGAUUUCGGCCACAUCAGCAACCAGCUCGCCGAUGUAAUCCUAACAUUCUACCUGAUAUUAAGGCCGAAAUCACCAAACUCAUUGAAGCUAAGUUUAUUUGACAGUGUCGGUAUGCCGAAUGGAUUUCCAAUGUUGUUCCGGUUUACAAGAAAAACGGGAAGCUUCGGGUGUGCAUUGAUUUCAGGAAUCUCAAUAAAGCUACGCCGAUGGAUGGAUACCCGAUGCCUGUUGCCGAUCUGCUGGUUGACGCUGCGGCUGGUCAUCGGAUCAUUAGCUUUAUGGAUGGUAAUGCGGGAUACAAUCAAAUAUUCAUGGCAGAGGAAGAUAUUCCAAAAACCGCAUUCAGGUGUCCUGGACAUGUUGGGUUAUUUGAAUGGAUAGUCAUGACCUUUGGGUUGAAGAAUGCUGGUGCUACUUAUCAAAGGGCCAUGAAUUUUAUAUUUCAUGAGUUCAUCGGCAAGCUGGUAGAGAUCUAUAUUGAUGAUGUGGUGGUUAAAUCUGAGGAUUUCUCAAAACAUCUUGCCGACUUACAAAAAGUGUUAGAGUGCACAAGGAAGCAUGGAUUGAAGAUGGAUCCCAAUAAGUGUGCAUUUGGUGUAUCGGUAGGGCAGUUUCUUGGUUUCAUGGUACAUCAAAGGGGGAUUGAAAUUAGUCGAAGAUCUAUUGAUGCCAUCAAUAAGAUAGUGGCCCCUACCAACAAGACUGAGCUCCAGUCCUUGAUCGGCAAGGUAAAUUUUAUCAGGAGAUUUAUAUCCAAUCUGUCUGGUAAGAUUCGUGCUUUCAGUCCUCUUCUUAAAUUGAAAGCCGAUCAAGAAUUUAUUUGGGGAAAAGAGCAGCAGUUGGCUUUGGAUGAAAUCAAGAAAUAUCUAGUGAAUCCUCCAGUUCUAGUUCCACCUCAACAAGGAAAGCCCUUCAGAUUGUAUUUGUCUACCGAUGGGACGGUUAUCGGUUCAGCUUUGGUCCAAGAAUUUGAAGGGAAAGAGAGGGUAAUUUACUACCUAAGUAGGAGGUUGAUUGAUGCUGAAACUAGGUAUUCGGCCAUCGAGAAACUAUGCCUAUGCUUGUAUUUUUCGUGUAUCAAACUGAGGCAUUACCUGCUAUCGGCCGAAUGCACUGUUGUUUGCAAGGAUGACGUGGUCCGGUACAUGCUAUCCAUGCCGAUUAUGAGUGGCAGGAUUGGUAAAUGGAUUUUAGCGCUGUCGGAGUUCGAUCUGCGUUACGAAUCGGCCAAGGCAGUCAAAGGGCAGAUCAUGGCCGAUUUUGUGACUCAGCAUUGCGGUGUAGUGGAAGCCUUGGAAAUUGUACCCUGGACGCUUUUCUUUGAUGGAUCUACCUGUGACCGGGGGUCAGGAAUCGGCAUUGUAUUAGUUUCCCCUAAGGGGAGGAAGUAUGAGUUUUCCUUGCCGAUUGUUGCUACAUCAACGAAUAAUCAGGCUGAGUAUCAGGCUCUGAUCAAGGGAUUGGAGUUGUUAAGAGAAGUUCGUGCUGAUGCUGUUGAAAUCUUCGGGGAUUCUAUGUUAGUCAUAAAUCAAUUGGCCGGGAGCUAUGAAUGCCGAAGUGAAGUUCUCAUAACUUAUUUCGAGAAAAGCAUGCAACUGUUAAAGGAAUUCAAGGAUUUCCGAUUAGAGCAUGUUUCCCGAUUGCAUAAUGAAGACGCCAAUCGGUUAGCUCAGCAUGCCUCAGGAUAUCAGCCUAUGAUUAAUGCAAUAUCGGCAAUCGGUGCUGAUGAUUGGAGGAAAGAAAUUAUAUCUAAAAGAUCCAUCCAAAAAGGUUGAAAGACGAGUUCGAUUUCAAGCAACCAAAUAUGUGCUCCUCGAAGAUGAAUUGUAUUAUCGAACUAUUGAUGGGAUUCUUCUCCGAUGCUUGAGUGAUGAUGAAGCUAGAAGUUUGAUGGGAGAAAUCCAUGAAGGAGCAUGUGGGGCACAUCAGUCAGCUUUUAAGAUGAAGUGGAUGAUUCGAAGGAAUGGAUACUUCUGGCCGACUAUACUUGAAGAUUGCUUUAAAUAUUUCAAGGGGUGUCAAGGUUGUCAAAAGUUUGGUAAUAUUCAAAGAGCACCCGCAUCGGCUAUGAAUCCUAUCAUAAAGCCUUGGCCGUUCCGGGGAUGGGCUAUCGAUCUGAUCGGCCAGAUUUAUCCACCAUCUAGUAAGGGGCAUAAGUUUAUUUUGGUUGCUACUGAUUAUUUCACUAAAUGGGUUGAAGAUAUUCCUUUGAAGAAGGUCACCUCGGCCAAUAUGAUUGAUUUUGUGAAGGAACACAUUAUUUACCGAUUUGGGAUUCCUCAGACGAUUACUACCGAUCAGGGCACUAUGUUCACAUCGGGGGAGUUUGAUGAAUUCGCAAUCGGUAUGGGGAUUAAAGUGUUGAAUUCUUCUCCUUAUUAUGCUCAAGCCAAUGGGCAGGCCGAGGCAUCUAACAAAGGAAUUAUCAAGCUUAUUAAACGAAAGAUUGAAGAAAAUCCUAAGCGGUGGCAUACAUUGUUAAAUGAAGCACUGUGGUCUUAUCGGAUGGCUUGUCAUGGAUCAACCAAGGUGUCACCCUAUCAAUUGGUGUAUGGACAUGAUGCAGUGUUGCCUUGGGAGAAUAAGGCCGGAUCCAGGCGAUUAUCUUUUCAAGAUCAGUUAACCGCCGAUGAUUAUGCCACUUUGAUGACCGAUGAGUUGGAUGAUCUAGCAGGGCAUCGGUUAAAAGCUUUAAUGAGUAUAGAAGAAAAUAAGAAGAGAGUUGCUAGAUGGUAUGAUAAGAAAGUGAAGACUUAGGAGUUUGCCGAUGGGGAUUUGGUAUGGAAAUUAAUUUUGCUAGUCGGGACUAAAAGUGCGAAGUUUGGAAAGUGGUCUCCUAAUUGGGAAGGUCCUUAUCGGAUAAGUCGAUCGGCUCCUGGUAAUGUCUAUAUUCUAGAAACUCUUGAAGGAGUUGAAUUUCCCAGAGCAUUAAAUGGCAAAUAUUUAAAGAAGUACUACCCCAGCAUAUGGGUCGAUGCAUAAAAGUUUAAAUGCCGAUAACACUCCUAUCGGCUGGAUUAAAGUGUAUCUGGGGAUGGACUUAAUGUUUCAAAAGAUGCCGAUAACAGUCCUAUCGGCUAGACUAAGACAUUAAGAAAGCUGAAAUGCAGAAGAGCAAAGGUGUGUUGCCGAUGAGAGCUUCAGAUGUUCAGCAGCGCUUGGAUUGCCGAUAUGGCACGUAGCCGGAUCUGAUUGGCUGUUUCUAUCUCUUUGGUAUCAUCAUCGGCAGAACCUUCUAUCGGCUUCAGCUUCUUCUUCAACUGCAGCGCUUUGCGACCGUGGGCAUUUCGUUCUUGUUCGAGGUGCUUGAUGGUUUCCGGUAGUUGGCUCUCUUCUUGCUGGGCCUGAGACAGGGCAUCCUCUACUUGCUUGAGUUCGGCCAGCAGGGCUUCUCUUUUUGCCGAUAGAUCAGAGACUUUCUGCUUCAGUGCAUCACCUGAGGACUUUAAGGUGCCGAUGUUCUUAUGCUUCUCAUCGGCUAAGAGUUUUUCUUUCAUCAUCUCCUCAGAAAGCUGGGUUUGAGCAGCUCUAUCGGCAAGGCGUCGAGUGGCUCUCUGGUACUGCAGCUGGCGGCUUUCUAGGUGUGCGGCCUGGAAGAGGGUUUCUUCAGCGUCGGCAGGAAUUUGGCCUCUAAGGGUCUUGAACAGGGCCUUGGCUGGGUCAGAAUCGUUGACCAGUUGAGCUGUGUCUUGAUGAAGUAUGGCCGAUAGCUCUUCCAGCUUAGCCCUGGUUUCUGCCGAUACAGUCCCAACUGCCCGAGAAGAGCUUGCUUCCUCACCUUCUUCUUCGGAGAUAUCAAUGGCGAAGGAGAAUAGGCUGUCAGGAGAAUCUUGUUCCUGAAAGUAAGGAUGAACUAAGUCAUUUUUAUGAUCAAAGCUUCGGCAAACAAUACUGGUGGAAAAUUGGAUGCCUUACUUGCUUCAAGGCGAUCUCUUGCCUUUGGCUGGGAGGUACUGAUUGAGCUACAGGUUGAUCGGCCAGGGUUGCCGAUGGAACGACGUCAGCUGAAAGUUAACAGAAGGGGUUAUAAGAUCGAAAAGGGAAAGUUCAUCGGCAGUAAUAGUAUUAUCAAAAUAUGCUACCCGGGGGAGGAACAGUGAUUGUCUGAAUCGGGGGAACUGCCGAUGGUGCGAUUGGACCUGCCGGGCCAAUUGUUUGUUCACCCGUAUCGGCUGAUGUACCUUCUGUUUGGGGUUCUUCCUGCUGGGGUUCAUCUACUGCUGGUGCUUCUUGCAGAUGAGGGGGAGAUGGUGCUUGCUGCGUCUGGACUUCUAGAGAAGAAGGGGAAGACUCCACCGGAAUUGGAGACACCGAAGGGGGAGGAGGAGUUGCCACCUUCUGGCGCUUUGUUCCAGCCUUAGCACCUUUUGUGCCCUUCCUCUUUGGUUGGCUAGACUGGGGGGCAUCGGCACCUUGGCGUUUGGCUUUUGCCGAUGCACCGGUUUGCUGCAGCAACAGAAAGGAGUUUAUAAGCACAGAUAUAGCCGAUAUAAAGAUGGUCAGUGUAAAAGAAAAAUAUUUGACAAAUUGCCUUGAAAGCCUGCGCCAGAGUGGAAGCAGCUACCGUAGGUGAUGUCUGAGUUCUCUUGGUGGUGACUUUCCUGAGGCGCACACCCCGAUGCACGACGGAAGCCAGAGUGGGAGCAUUGUGGCCGAUUGAGGAGAUCGGGCCUGAUGGAAACAAGUCGAUCGGCUUGCCACUCCUGCUAACCGAUGGGGGGAUGUUGUCAACCUGCAAAAGGAAUACAAGGGUAAGCUACCGAUGGAAAUAGUAUUGAAAAAAUGAAACAUCGGUUUGAAAUACUUACGGUGUCGUCGGGGACUUCGUAUUCGGGGUCGAUCAUGCCGCGGUAUGAGAGGGCCGAUCUGCAGAAUAGAUGCUCUUUCCAUUCUGCCCACCAUAGCUUGUAUGCCUGAGUAAUAAAGACAGCUGGAACCCAUUCUGACAGAUCUACAUCUGUAUCGGCAUUUGGUGGUAGUUGUGCUACUCGAAUCCACUCAAGAAAGUUGGUGAUGGGUUCUCUGGGUUUUAUCACAUCGGCAUAAGGAAGUGCAAUCGGCAACUGGCCGAAAGCUAGUUGGUGAGCUAAUGCCGAUGGAUUAUAAAAUUCAUAGGUUUGGGGAGAGGUUUUUGUGCUACCAAAGAAAUUCACUGGUAUGACUCUGGGAGUCACAAUUGCCAUCAUCACCUCAUUAUCCCUGUCAAGAGCUUCAUCAAAUGGAUUGAAGGUUAGAGGGAGCAUACUGUCUGGGUCAUCAUAAGCCAACCAUGGUCGUUCAUCUCUGGCCAAUCCCUCAUACAGAGUCUGGAAGAAUCGGCCGAUCUGAUCUGGAUUACUCCCUGAACCAGGUAAAACUAUGGCAGCUUCGCCAAAGUUCAGGGGGGCACGUGUUGCCGAUUCUUCUUCGCCCAACACAUGAUUUUCGGCUAUAUCUCUUGGGAAAUGCUGUGUGAACAAGUUGAAGUCAAGGCGCUUAUGCAAAUGCAGAUUGAGCCACAUGUUAAUAAACCACUAGGGGCCUCCCAAGUUGCCGAUAGACUGACCAAGCAGGAGUUUCUGGGCUACUUGAUGAAGAAGAUGGUAAGCAGCGCCAAGCAAGUAUCGGCCGAGAGGAAAUUGACCACCGUUAGCCAGUCUCUCUGCUGCCGAUAGAUAGACAGAAGUCGGUCCUGCCGAUCGACCGCAGAAUACAAAUUUGUCCAGCCACAUGUUCAGAAAGGUGGUUUGUUCCUUUAUGGUGACAGGCCCCUUCCCACGGUACUUCUGAAUGUACCCUGACCAACCGCCGAUAGUGCGAGUCUCCACUUUGGCACUAGGAGCGGUAUCAAAGAAAUGGGUGCUAUCGGCAGAGGACACGUCCAGACCAGUGAGCAUAGCUACAUCGGCAAGAGUGGGAGAAACAGGACCGUGGCCAAAAACAAAGGCAUUAAGGGUAUCUGACCAAAAAUGAGACGCAGCUAUCAACAGCGACUCGUUCCUGUGCAUAUCGGCAAUAGAUAGCCUGAUGCAUUGGGCUAGCUUCCUUUCACCCCACUGGACUUCACAAGAAUUGCUGACCCUCAAGAACCAGUCUUUCCACCCCACGGUAGGGCUGGGCCAAGAGCGGAAGGUGUCUUUCCACAGAUCUAAAGAAAAAUUUUCAGCUCUAAAGGGGAUCCUGUUGGUUUCUGCGUUGAUAAGGUCGGUUGGAUCUGGGUCCCCUAGAGGGCCGAGGCAUUGAAUGUGUGGUUGAUCGGUGGGGAUGACAAUUUUGUUGGACAAUUCCUAGUGAUUUUGGGUGUAAAGGAAACACAAAAGAAAGAGGAAAAGGAAGAUAUUCAGUAAAAUGAAUUACGGAUGAACAGGGAUACGAGAAAAAUAUACGGGAGACGAGAUGGAGAUCUGACCUCAGGAACGACGAAGCCAAUGGCCAUCUUGCUGCGAAGAAAGUGUUUGAAGGCACCGGGGUUGAUGAGGAGGAGUGCUUGUUGGAGGUCUUGGGAGUUUCGGAUGGCGCCGCCGCUGGAGAAGUAAAGAUUGGUGGUGGAUUGAUGUGAUGGGGAAAGAGUACCCGAGAAGGAACUAUUUAUAGGGCAAAAUGGGCAAGGGCAAAUCUGACUUAUCUCUUUGCCGCCUCCGAGAAAUCCGAGGGUACUCAGGUAGAUAUGGUAACUGUUCGCACGGUAAUCAAGGGAUUGCGCAGGUGAUUUGACGGGAAGCGGUCAUUAUCUGAAGAUAUUUUACUGUGCGAGAUCUCCUGGUCGGUCCAUCGGCAGCGUUCUAUAACGGUCAUAUUGCCGAUGGGCGAAUAAAGGGGAGGUAGCCGUUUGUACGAACGUCCUGGUCAGUAUAUCGGCAGAUCUUUGUAACGGUAUUAUUGCCAAUGUACGGUUGAGAGAGAAAUGCCCGUUUAGGAAGUUGGGGAUUUCGAAGGAUCUGCGGGAGAAUAGGAUCAGAGUUGUUCAGAUUGAGGUUGUCGGUUACCAGAUUAGGAGCAUUAAUUGCGGGAAGAAGGCAUCAUUACUGCAGAGAAUUUCGGAGUAUUAAUAGUUUUAUACUCCGAAAUUGGGGGGCAUGUGUUGACACCGUUUUUUGGGCACGUGUCCAGGAUGGCAGGAUAAAGUGGCAGUAUGCUGUUUACAGGAUGAAUUGCCGAUGAGGAUGGUUGCCGAUGAGGGAGAGGUCGGAUGUGACUAAGUAUGCAGGCAGUGAUGUGUUUAUGCCGAUGGCUAUAAUUUGGGAGUCUGCCGAUGACUAUGGCAAGGAGUCUGCCGAUGAUAUGGAGGAGGGAUUCGGAAACUGAUGAUCGGUUUAUGGAAGAAUUUUAGUUCGUCACGGGAGAUAGCUUUGUUAUUUCCUUAUUUAUUUAAGUCGUUUUGUAUACGGAUUCCGUGUAAUUUGGAAUUCGAAUUCUAGUCGUGUUUAAUUGUAGCUCUUUGAGCAGGGUAUAAAAAUGAACCCUAGGGCCUUGUAAUGAUCUAUCUAUCAAUCAAACAAACACACGUUUUACUCAUAUUCUAGCAUCUACUUUUCGACGACUUCGUCAUACUUUUUUCUUUUUACUACGAGUUCUUAGGAAUUCGUCGACUUAAGCUCGG